AAUGAACGCUGGCGGCGUGGAUUAGGCAUGCAAGUCGAGCGAUUCAAAAUUUUGCCCGUAAGGGUGAAAUUUUGGAUAGCGGCAAACGGGUGAGUAACACGUGAGCAAUUUGCCCUUAAGACUGGAAUAGCCCAGAGAAAUCUGGGGUAAUGACAGAUAUGACUACGACGACUAUGUCGAUGUAGUAAAAGGCGGGGACCGCAAGGCCUGCCACUUAGGGAGAAGCUCGCGGCCUAUCAGCUUGUUGGUGAGGUAACGGCUCACCAAGGCUAAGACGGGUAGCUAGUCUGAGAGGAUGUUUAGCCACACUGGGACUGAGAUACUGCCCAGACUCCUACGGGAGGCAG
rnacentral:rRNA from 1 species